AAGUCUUAAGCGAUAUAAGAGCACCUAAUAAUGAUAAGAUACUAUUAUUGAAUCUAAUGAAACUGAUGUCCAACUUUGAUAUAAGAGUACCCAAUGUAAUGAACCUUUUAUUCUAUUAAUUGUUACUAAGAAUCAAAGCCUUAAGUAAUAUAAGAGCACCAAAUGAAUUAAGAAUCAAAGUCUUAGGUGAUGUAAGAACACUCAAUGAUGAUAAGAUUCUAUUAUUAAAAUAAUUAACACUAAGAUCUAAGACUUCUAAUUUCUUCAAUUUUGAUUAUCUUUCAAAACCUACAUAUAUUAUAGAGCAAAGUCUUUCAAAAUCUUUUAGAGAAGUGCACCCAAUAACUUACUG
rnacentral:misc_RNA from 1 species